CACCUGCACAGGCUCCGCCUGGCACGGCGCGUGGCACCCGCGGGCCGCAAGGAUGCUGGAGAGAGGACGAGCCGUGAGUGCGGGGAAGGGGUCCCGGAGCCUGGCCCCGCGGAAGUGAGUCUUUGUGCGCCCCGCUCUGACACACCCUCCCGCGGCGCUGAAGGCCGGGCUACCUGCGCGCCAGGCAGUGCCCGGGAGCCGGCCGGGUGGGGCGCCGGGGAGUGCAGCAUCCUCUCGGGCCGCUCGCUCCCUUUGUUCCGCCCGCUCGGCCAGGCUCCGCGCCACCGCCCGGCCCUUGCUCCCGGGAGCCGGAGGUGGACUGGGAGCGAGCCACCUGCCACUGGAAAUUCCGUCGGUCGGGUUCUCCCCACCGAACGCGACUGGCUCCCAGAGGACCAGCAAAGUUCACGGAACGACGGCACCCGGACUGCUGGCCUGGCGCGAGGAGAACCGGGCGCGGGAGCCGCGGGUGUGGCUGCGGAUAGGGUGUCCGUCUGCUCGCGUGCGGGAUGUCCAUUUGUUGCCUCCAACCUCUGGUUCUUGAGAAGUGGCCGCAGCUGGUCCCGGACCGAGACCGCGCCGCCCUUUGUUUGCUGUCACCUUCCAGAACCCGAGUACACGUCACAAGCUCCCAGGCAUCCACAGGGGCACUGCACUUCACAGUUGAUGGAAAUGCUUCUCCUCCCUCAUCUCUGAGGAAAUGAAGGUCUGAUGGGAUUGAAAGCCAUCUACAGGUGGCCUUGCCACUUCUAAAUGAAAAAGGCGAAAAGUGGGAAGUUGCAUUCAGCGUGUGUUUUGCACGAAUGGUUGUAGAGGCAGCAAGAUGGGCCCGGCCAACUUCUUUCCUGGAACCACUCAGCAUCUCAGCAUCUCCACAUCUCAGCACCUCCGAAUCUCAGCAUCCAGCUCGAGCUGUGAACCACAUCUGUGGUGCAUCUGUGCUUUAUCUGGUUUAUUUCAUGGACCUAAGGUGACAAAACUAAUUACACUCAACACAUGUUCAUUCCGGGACCUGCUCUAGGUGCUAGGAAACAUCAGAGAGGACGUCACACAUACAGAUCCAUGGGGCUCAAACUGUGUGAGGUGACGUGGACCCCAUGGAAACUCACUGAGAGGCUGCAGGAAGGUUUAACUUUUCAAGGGAAGCACAGUGAUGCUUGGCCCUUGUGGGAUAACAUGGUUUGACGGUCUCUCCAUUAGACUGUGCAGCACUUACUGAAGAUGUCAUCUCUCUAUGAAAUUGCAUUUCUGGAAGUUGUUGGGAUUAAAACGACUCCAGUUUUGUUCAGGAAAUCGAGACGUCUCAUGCUUCCAGAGCUCUUCUCCAACCCCAAAGAUUGGCCAAUCCAGAGGUUCUUAACUUGAGUGGCCCAGCGCAGUGCCUCAGGGGACUUUUAAACAUCAGGAUGCGGAGAACAUGUUGGACCAGGGAAAUCAGUCACUGGGGAUGAGACUCAGCCAGCAUCAGUAUUUUGUAAAGCUCCCCAGGCUUAUGACAUGCCUGAAGCUUUACUAGCUUCUCUGCUUCCCAGCAGCUACCCACCGACCAGCUCCUCACACUCUUGCUAUGAGCCAUGAAUCAAAACUUAUUUUGAGGAGAAAAGCAACCCAGAAAGUCCCUGGAAUUCAACGCUUAAAAAUACUUGGUUUCUUUGAUUGGAAAACGGUAUUUGGAAAACGAAAUCAGACUAUGAGUUGUCUUCUGGAAGGAAAGGGAGCCUGUCCAUCCUUGUCCCCCCCCAACCCCCCAUUAGGAACAUCCUCUCCCCUCAAGUGUCUUGCAUCCACUGGUGAUGUGUGCUGGACCACCGAAGCCUGCCUCCUGGCCACCCUCUGCCAGGCUCCUGGACUGGAGGCUAUGGACUGAGGACCCUCAGGGGCCUCAGCCCUGCAGAAGGAGUCUGUUGGAAGAAAGAGAAAUGCAGAGAAGGCAGAUCCUGGCCAGGGUGGCUUCUGAAAUGGGGCAGAGAGGUCUCAGGGUUUUCCCAUCUGAGUGGCCGUCUUCCUUCCUGGGUUCUGUAGGUUGCAUCUGUCACUUCUGUCCUUCGAAUUCUCUAUCAGCACCGCCAGCCCCAGGUCUUGGAGGGAAGUGCACAUUUUCUGCCUUUUCAGUGUCCUCCAGCAUUUCAACAGGGAAAAGGGAGAGGCGACGUGAGGGUUACUUCUCAGAAGCCAUUGCCAACGUGGUGCCACAGCUCAGCUUUGAAACAGAAAAGCCUUUCUGACCCGAACCGCACCGGACCAUUCCUCUUUUAUUUUGCAGCGACUGGUAAGAAUUUCUGCUCUCUAGGUCUCUAUUGAAAGGGAUGGUGGAUGCGUACAUUGUCAUCCUGAUCCGAGACUAGCCUCCUAACCAUGUGAGAGCACCAAGCGUCAGCACACAGAAUCUGUUUCAGGGGGUCUGGGGACAGAGAUAACCACACGUGCCCGCUCUGAUUUCCUUCCAACAGAUUCCUCCCUAGGCCUUAACCCCAUAAUCGGUCUGCCUCCAAACCUGCUGAAGGUGACGGCCUUGUCCUCAAAGGAGUCAUACUUUUGUUGAGAUGUUGCGGGGGGAGGAGGGGAGGAGAGAGACAGACAUUGGACCGUGAGGCAGUGGUUAACCUGCUGUAAUAAAAGCAUGAACAAAGU
rnacentral:lncRNA from 1 species